rnacentral:RNase_P_RNA from 1 species
AGUGCAAGCCGACUUGCCGCUGGUCUGAGGUUAAUUCUUCGGAAAAGAGGAAAGUCCGGGCAACAUAGAGCGCCAUACUUCCUAACAGGAAGGUGUCAAACUGGAGACGGUUUGAUAACAGAAAGUGCCACAGAAAAUAUACCGUCCUGAUACCUAUCGGGAUAAGGGUGAAAUGGUGGGGUAAGAGCCCACCGCUUUCUCAGUGAUGGGAGAGGCAAGGCAAACCUUAUGGGUUGAAAGAUCAAAUAGGUCCCGCAAUGAAACUAGUUUCAUAAAAGGUGGCUCGUCUUUAUGCGGGAUGGGUAGAUCGAUUGAGCCUGGUUGCAAAAUCAGGCCUAGAUAGAUGGCAGGAGAUUCAUCCAUUAAGGAUGUUGAACAGAACCCGGCUUACAGGCUUGCACUUUUU